rnacentral:rRNA from 1 species
UACGUAGGUGGCAAGCGUUGUCCGGAUUCAUUGGGUUUAAAGGGUGCGUAGGCGGCCAUUUAAGUCAGUGCUGAAAUAUCACAGCUUAACUGUGAGGGUGGCAUUGAUACUGGGUGGCUUGAGUGCUAGCGAGGCAGGCGGAAUUGACGGUGUAGCGGUGAAAUGCUUAGAUAUCGUCAAGAACACCGAUAGUGUAGACAGCUUGCCAGGGAGCAACUGACGCUGAGGCACGAAAGUGUGGGGAUCAAACAGG